GUUGAUUGCGACCCCAG
rnacentral:rRNA from 1 species